UACGUAGGGUGCGAGCGUUAAUCGGAAUUACUGGGCGUAAAGCGUGCGCAGGCGGUUAGUUAAGACAGGUGUGAAAUCCCCGGGCUUAACCUGGGAAUUGCGCUUGUUACUGGCUGGCUAGAGUGUGUCAGAGGGAGGUGGAAUUCCACGUGUAGCAGUGAAAUGCGUAGAGAUGUGGAGGAACACCGAUGGCGAAGGCAGCCUCCUGGGAUAACACUGACGCUGAGGCACGAAAGCGUGGGGAGCAAACAGG
rnacentral:rRNA from 1 species